rnacentral:rRNA from 1 species
UGGGGAAUUUUGGACAAUGGGGGCAACCCUGAUCCAGCCAUUCCGCGUGGGUGAAGAAGGCCUUCGGGUUGUAAAGCCCUUUUGUCCGGAGCGAAAAGGUUACGGUGAAUAUCCGUGACUACUGACGGUACCGGAAGAAUAAGCACCGGCUAACUACGUGCCAGCAGCCGCGGUAAUACGUAGGGUGCGAGCGUUAAUCGGAAUUACUGGGCGUAAAGCGUGCGCAGGCGGUUUUGUAAGCCAGAUGUGAAAUCCCCGGGCUCAACCUGGGAAUGGCAUUUGGGACUGCAAGGCUUGAGUGCGGCAGAGGAGACUGGAAUUCCUGGUGUAGCAGUGAAAUGCGUAGAUAUCAGGAGGAAUACCGAUGGCGAAGGCAGGUCUCUGGGCUGACACUGACGCUCAUGCACGAAAGCGUGGGGAGCAAACAGG